UGGGGAAUAUUGCACAAUGGGCGCAAGCCUGAUGCAGCCAUGCCGCGUGUGUGAAGAAGGCCUUCGGGUUGUAAAGCACUUUCAGCGAGGAGGAAGGUGGUGAACUUAAUACGUUCAUCAAUUGACGUUACUCGCAGAAGAAGCACCGGCUAACUCCGUGCCAGCAGCCGCGGUAAUACGGAGGGUGCAAGCGUUAAUCGGAAUUACUGGGCGUAAAGCGCACGCAGGCGGUUUGUUAAGUCAGAUGUGAAAUCCCCGGGCUCAACCUGGGAACUGCAUUUGAAACUGGCAAGCUAGAGUCUCGUAGAGGGGGGUAGAAUUCCAGGUGUAGCGGUGAAAUGCGUAGAGAUCUGGAGGAAUACCGGUGGCGAAGGCGGCCCCCUGGACGAAGACUGACGCUCAGGUGCGAAAGCGUGGGGAGCAAAACAGGAUUAGAUACCCUGGUAGUCCACGCUGUAAACGAUGUCGAUUUGGAGGUUGUGCCCUUGAGGCGUGGCUUCCGGAGCUAACGCGUUAAAUCGACCGCCUGGGGAGUACGGCCGCAAGGUUAAAACUCAAAGGAAUUGAC
rnacentral:rRNA from 1 species